rnacentral:lncRNA from 1 species
GUACAAGAUAUUGUGAAACCAAACGCAGCCUGCACGUUCAUCAUAACAGGAAGAAAAAGGUCCCUGGAGCUUCAGACUCGGUAUGGCACAGCAGCUGCAGCUGCAGGAACAUCUUUAACCAGAGACUAUAGCGGAUCGUUUCUUUUACUGAAUGCAAUAACCUUUCAAUAUAUUCAGUGUGUGUAUGUGUGUGUGUGUGUGUGUGUGUGUGUGUCUGUGUCUGUGUCUGUGUCUGUGUCUGUGCGCGUGCACAUGUGUGCGCACAAAUGUUUAAAUCAAAGAUGGGAAGAUGUCUCAGUAGGUAAAGAGCUUGGCACAUGGCACGAGGACCUGAGUUCAGAUUCCUAGCACUCACAUAAAAAGCCAGACACAGCAGUGUGUGUUUGUAAUCCCAGGGCUGUGGAGGCGGGGAGCCAGGCAGGUUCCGGAGGCUGGCUCUCUAGCCACCCUAGUAGAAUUAAUGAGCCCAAAGUUCAGUAAGAAGUUCUGUAUCAAAAAGUGAGAUGAACAGUGAUUGAGGAAGAUGCACAAUAUCGGCCUCUGUCCUCUACACACAUGCACACACAUGAACAUGUAUAUACACAUGCUCAAACGUGGCUAUUACAAACAGCACGUAUCUUGGUUAUGGUUUCUACUGCUAUGACUGAAAUCAACUUAUGGAGAAAGGGUUCAUGUCGCUUACACUUCCAGGUCACAUCCACCACUGAAGGAAGUCAGGGCAGGAACCUGGAAGCAGGAACUGAAAUCGUGGAACCUGACUACUUACUGCCUUGCUCCCCAUGGCUUGCUCAGCCUGCUUUCUUAUAGGACCCAGGACUGCCUGCCAAUGGGUGGCACCACCCAUAGUAUACUGGCUGUUCUCACAUCAGUCAUUAAGCAAGAGAAUGCCCCAUAGACUUGCCUACAGGCCAAUCUGAUGGAGGCGCACCCUCAAAUAAUCUGAUGGAGAUGCUCCCUCAACUAAUGUUCCUCUUCCUAGAUAAUUCCCCUCGUCUCAGUGC